rnacentral:rRNA from 1 species
UACGGAGGGGGGCUAGCGUUGUUCGGAAUUACUGGGCGUAAAGCGCACGUAGGCGGCUUUGUAAGUUAGAGGUGAAAGCCCAGGGCUUAACCCUGGAAUUGCCUUUAAGACUGCAUCGCUAGAAUUGUGGAGAGGUAAGUGGAAUUCCGAGUGUAGAGGUGAAAUUCGUAGAUAUUCGGAAAGAACACCAGUGGCGAAGGCGACUUACUGGACACAUAUUGACGCUGAGGUGCGAAAGCGU